GGGCUUAGGCAAGAGGAUCCCAAGUUCAAGGCCUGCCUUUACUUCAGAGUAGGUUAGUGUCAACCUGGGCAGCGUUUUGAGAACACGUCUUAAAAUAAAGACAUGCCUGCCAGGGGAUUAAAUCAGCAGAACAGGAGUUGUUAGCAUGCGUGAGGCUGCAGGUUCAACUGCAAGUGAACCACCGCUCUAAAAAAGUAAAAAUAUAUCUUAAUAUUAAUAACCGAUGAGAGGUUUUAGUUUAUAUAUUGUACUUAGGUUCUUCCCUGUUGUCAUUCGAGCUGAGCUACCUAUAAUUAUAUUUCUAAUUUGAUUUUUUUAGGCGUUUCAUUAAACGGGUGUAUGUGUCAUUACCCAAUGAGGAGACACGACUACUUCUACUUAAAAACCUGU
rnacentral:lncRNA from 1 species